UGGGAAUAUUGACCAAUGGGGGCAACCCUGAUCCAGCCAUGCCGCGUGAGUGAUGACGCUCUCUCGGAUGUAAAACUCUUUUCUCCGGGACGAUAAUGACGGUACCGGAAGAAUAAACCCCGGCUAACUUCGUGCCAGCAGCCGCGGUAAUAUGAGGAGGGCUAGCGUUUCUCGGAAUCUCUGGGCGUAAAGGGCGCGUAGGCGGCUGAUUUAGUCGAGGGUGAAAGCCCGUGGCUCAACCUCGGAAUGGCCUUCGAUACUGAUUGGCUUGAGACCGGAAGAGGACAGCGGAACUGCGAGUGUAGAGGUGAAAUUCGUAGAUAUUCGCAAGAACACCAGUGGCGAAGGCGGCUGUCUGGUCCGGUUCUGACGCUGAGGCGCGAAAGCGUGGGGAGCAAACAGGAUUAGAUACCCUGGUAGUCCACGCUGUAAACGAUGAAUGCUAGCCGUUGGGGUGCAUGCACCUCAGUGGCGCAGCUAACGCGUAAGCAUCCG
rnacentral:rRNA from 1 species